rnacentral:tRNA from 1 species
GCGAGAGUGGCGGAACUGGUAGACGCGCUGGUCUUAGGAACCAGUAUCUUUGAUGUGUGGGUUCGAGUCCCUCCUCUCGCACCA